rnacentral:rRNA from 1 species
UCUGGGCGUAAGCGCGCGUAGGCGGCUUUGUAGACCGAUGUGAAAUCCCGGGCUCAACCUGGGAACUGCCUUGUGAGACUGCAUCGCUAGAGUGCGGGAGAGGGGGGUGGAAUUCCGCGUGUAGCGGUGAAAUGCGUAGAUAUUCGGAGGAACACCGAUGGCGAAGGCGGCCCCCUGGACUGAUACUGACGCUGAUGCGCGAAAGCGUGGGGAGCAAACAGGAUUAGAUACCCUGGUAGUCCACGCCCUAAACGAUGACAACUAGCUGUCGGGGAUCUUGUUCCUUUGGAUGGCGCCUCUAACGCUGUUAGUUUACCCCCCGGGGAGAACCGGCCCCAGAGUUA